ACAGUGUCGGUCUCACAGAUUCUGGAGCCGAGGAUCUCGUCUCCGCUCUCAGUACAAACCGCACGGUGACGGAGCUGAACCUGGGACACAACUCCCUCACAAACAGAUCUGUCCCCGCUCUCCGCUGCCUCACACUGAACCACCCGAGACUGGAGCUGAUCGGCUGCGGG